CCUUAGACUCCUGAGCCUGCAUAACUUGUACCACAACCCAGAGUGGAGGGAAGUUAACAUCCUAUGGGGCAACCUUCAGCUAUUGGAAGACAGGAGCCAGGGGAUAGAUAGCCCUUUACUCCCAAGUGAUCUGGAGAUGCAUUUCAUCCGGCUUCUCAGAUGGUUUUCUGGGACUGAACAACCCUUCACCAGCGGAGAUGGCCAACUUGACAAGACCUCCUUCCAUUGGAUUUCCCUCCUGCUUUGCUGUGCUCCCUCUGCCUUACUCCAGCUUUCUGAGGUCAUGCUCCCCAGUCAAAUACUAUCACAUAAACCUCUGCCUUGACUUCUGCUUUCUGAAAACACAGGCUAAGCUAACUGGCACCCUCGACAGGCUCUGGGCCCAACCACGGAAUCUU
rnacentral:lncRNA from 1 species